AUGAACGCUAGCGGCAGGCUUAAUACAUGCAAGUUGAGGGGCAGCAUGAUAUACGCGAGUAUAUUGAUGGCGACCGGCGGACGGGUGAGUAAUAGGUAGGAGACCUACCUCAUACGAGGGGGAUAGCAUAGAGAAAUCUGUGGUAAUACCCAUGAGGUUAUAUGAAUAGAGGCAUAUAAUCAAAGCAUAAGCGAUUAUGCGGUAUGAGAGGGGCCUACUGACCAUUAGCUAGUUGGUGAGGUAAGGGCUCACCAAGGCGAAGAUGGUUAGGGGUUUUGAGAGAGAGACCCCCCACAUUGGAACUGAGAGACGGUCCAGACUCCUACGGGAGGCAGCAGUAGGGAAUAUUGGGCAAUGGGCGAAAGCCUGACCCAGCCAUGCCGCGUGAAGGAAGACGGCCUUAUGGGUUGUAAACUGCUUUUCCAGGGAGAGAAACUUACGCACGUGUUGCGUGACUGACGGUACCCUGGGAAUAAGCAUCGGCUAACUCCGUG
rnacentral:rRNA from 1 species